AUUUCAGUCACCUAAAGCGAUCCAGAAUUACAGCACGGUUUCUUUGGCUCAAAGAAGACGACUGAAAGCUGCCUCACCAAGACACUAGACAUCGGAUCAUCUGUAUCCGUAAUCGCAGACGCAUGGCAUCUGUUCAGAUGUUGACCAUGAAGAGGUUGUGGCGGAACAGAUGGUGAGAUCCACUAAUAACUGGAGACAUGGGAGAAGAGUUGUUGAAUUAAGGGUGUUGGCAUAUGCUCUAAAGGCCCGUCUAAACUGGGACAUGCCAUUUCAGUUCACUCAUGCUGUAGAUAUCCAGACUUAUGGACUGUCGACUAUCAUUAAGGUUUUGAAUAUGAUGUCUCCAGUAUGGAUAUGUUUGACGAUUGUUACCAUGAAAAUGAACUCACGGACCAACAUGUAUGUCAAAACAGUUGGGGUAUUUUUUUUGGUAAAAUAAGUAUAAUGGUACCCAUUUCACUCAAUUUUAGAAUUUUUUAAUUAUUCUGAUGUCAGUCAUACGCUACCAUUUUUUUUUAACAGGUUU